CCCAAUGGUUAAUCCAUUACAGAAAGAAGUUGGUGUAGAAGUGAUGCGUAAAAUAACUAAACACACAAAUUAAACCCUCUUGUUGACAAUUGUAGUAUGGAUAAGUAGGGAUCGUUCUGGACCAGGGAUUAGGAGGGAUUGCUAAUCUACUCUAAACUGACUUAGAAACACAAAAAUAAACUUAAAAACACUUAACAAGACUCACAAGACUCAAAACAAACUUAAAAGACUCAAAACAAGCUAAAAACACUCAAAACUGCCUAAAAACACAAACUGGGCAGUUUUGAGUUCUAAACACAAUUUGGACGAAAUUUGGGUUUCUAAAGGCUCAAAACACUUAAAAACACAAUCUCAGACAAGUUCUAACUAAUAUGACUUAACAAAGUAGGGGGUUUGGUUUUGGACGAAAAUAAGUAAAUUAAAACAAGAACAAUUUAAACAGAUUCUUAAGCAAAUUUGGGUGAAUUGAUGAGAUAUGGGGUAACUAGAGGGUUCUUCUUCACACAUGA
rnacentral:lncRNA from 1 species